rnacentral:tRNA from 1 species
UCCCUAAUGGUUCAGUGGUAAAGUAUCUGCCUGCUAACGCAGGAGACUUAGGUUCCAUUCCUGAUUUGGGAA